rnacentral:rRNA from 1 species
GAGCGGCUGAUGGCAGAUUAGGUAGUUGGUAGGGAGUAAAAGCUUACCAAGCCGACGAUCUGUAGCUGGUCUGAGAGGACGACCAGCCACACUGGACUGAGACACGGCCCAGACUCCUACGGGAGGCAGCAGUGGGAAUUUGGACAAUGGGCGCAAGCCUGAUCCAGCAAUGCCGCGUGCAGAUGAAGGCCUUCGGGUUGUAAACUGCUUUUGUACGGAACGAAAAGACUCUCUCUAAUACAGGGGGUUGAUGACGGUACCGUAAGAAUAAGCACCGGCUAACUACGUGCCAGCAGCCGCGGUAAUACGUAGGGUGCGAGCGUUAAUCGGAAUUACUGGGCGUAAAGCGUGCGCAGGCGGUUUUGUAAGACAGAGGUGAAAUCCCCGGGCUCAACCUGGGAACUGCCUUUGUGACUGCAAGGCUGGAGUGCGGCAGAGGGGAUGGAAUUCCGCGUGUAGCAGUGAAAUGCGUAGAUAUGCGGAGGAACACCGAUGG